UAGAGUGGGGCCUGAAACGGCCACCGGCAUGGCCCUCUGGAUAGCAGAGAUACAGAGUCCAAGGCUGCAACCUCCCCUUCAAGGGCAGGGAACUUCCCUGCA